CCCCUCCCCUUCAUCUUCCCUUUCCCCUAGCCUCCUCUGGUAACUACUCACAAAUACCAGUCCAACACAAUGGGCCAAAAAUUCAGAAUAUUUUAGUCUCCAUCUCUUUUGUUCCAGAAAGCUCCCCUCCUAAUAACUGCUUCCUUUUCUUUACCUUCUCAGUAUACGGCCAGCCCUAUCUUUUAGACACCCCUCGUGAUUGGCCGGAGAUAAAGUGUGCAGUAGCCCCCCAAAAUUUGCGAUCACCCACGAUCCCAGUCUUCCCACCCCCACUCUCCCCACUCCCUCCCUGGCACGUUCUCUCCAGCUAUCCGUUCCGAUCACCCCAUCAUGCCGUCAGGUGCGAAGAAGAGGAAAGCUGCCCGGCGAAAGAAGGAGAUGGGCGUCCACCCACCCGAUUCCUCUACCAGCUCUUCUUCUGGCAACGGCGAGAGCCACGACUCCAAGGGCGAAACCAGUGACGAAGAGGAGGAGAAGAAGGGCGAAUCCCUGAGAUCGGAAACCACCACGGCUGCCGUGAUGGAUAUCUUGGACAACGGUAAAGAGAAAGUAAGUGAGGAGACUGCCAAAGUGACGGAGAAUCCCCCCGAGGAGGAAAAGAAAAAGAUGGUCGAGGAGGAGACGGUGGUCGAGGAUGUGGGUGUGGAGCUGGUCCGGACGAAGGAAGGGGAAGUUGGUGGUGGUGUGGAGCCCAAAGAGGUUGCAGAAGAGAUGGCGGCAACAGUGGCAUCGGAUGUUCUUGUUGAUGAACCGGUUUCUGUAAGUGAGGAGGUUAUAGAAGCUACCGAAGCUGCGGUUGUGACUUCGGAGGCUGCGCUGGUGAUUGAUACUGUAGCACAUGAGACGGAAGUGAAGCCGGCGCCUAUUUUAGACAUUCCGCCGGUUCCGGUUAUUGAGCAGCCUCGGCCUCAUGAGAGUGGUGAGAGAGAGAGAUCUGAGGUUGAUCGUGCGACAUGGUGGAAUUGCUGUGGAUUGUUUCAUGUUCUUGCAACCUCCACAGGUGCUGCCAGGAGCAGAACAAGAUUAAUCCAGCGUCAAGUUGCUUAAAGUUUGAAGUGCAGAUAGUGAGAUGAGAUGGAGCAAGAGCAUGAUUCAAAAAUGGGUUCGACACUAGUAACUUGUGCUUGAAGAUGCAUCAAGAAAGAGCAAUUCAUGGAGAUAUCUAUAUUAACAUUAAGAGGCUUUUUUUGGUAGGUAAUGAAGGUAGAUUACAAAGGUAAUUGGAUGGUCAUCUGAUGUGUGCUCUUAUUGUUCCUGGUUAGCAUGUUCAUGUGAUUAGCUCGUUAACUGUUUGUGGUUUCUUUGUGUUGGCGUCUGUAUUAUAAGUUUUUAUUGGUUUUCUGAUAUAGUCUUGUAGCAUGCCUAAGUAUGUACCCCCCUUAAUUGCCAGCAACCCUAUCUGCUGCAAGGUGUGGAUGUUGAUUGAUCGUUCUUGUUGCCUAGAUAUGCUUGUGAAUGUGUGCAAUACACAUUAAACAUAUUCUUUCGGCAUUUCUUGUUCAUUUUUGUCA